rnacentral:rRNA from 1 species
UACGUAGGGGGCAAGCGUUGUCCGGAUUUAUUGGGCGUAAAGAGCUCGUAGGCGGCUUGUCGCGUCGGAUGUGAAAGCCCGGGGCUUAACUCCGGGUCUGCAUUCGAUACGGGCAGGCUAGAGUUCGGUAGGGGAGAUCGGAAUUCCUGGUGUAGCGGUGAAAUGCGCAGAUAUCAGGAGGAACACCGGUGGCGAAGGCGGAUCUCUGGGCCGAUACUGACGCUGAGGAGCGAAAGCGUGGGGAGCGAACAGG